rnacentral:rRNA from 1 species
AUUGAAAGCUGGCGGCAGGCCUAACACAUGCAAGUCGAACGAGUGGCGGACGGGUGAGUAAUGCCUGGGAAACUGCCCGAUGGAGGGGGGUAACUACUGGAAACGGUAGCUAAUACCGCAUACAAUCGGAUGGGUCCAGAUGGGAUUCGCUAGUAGGUGGGGUAACGGCUCACCUAGGCGACGUUCCCUAGCUGGUCCGAGAGGAUGACCAGCCACACUGGAAGUGAGACAGGGUCCAGAUUCCGCCUGGCGGCAGCAGUGGGGAAUAUUGCACAAUGGGCGCAAGCCUGAUGCAGCCAUGCCGCGUGUAUGAAGAAGGCCUUCGGGUUGUCAUGUACUUUCGGCGAUGAGGCGUUACUCGCAGCAGAAGCACCGGCUAACUCCGUGCCAGCAGCCGCGGUAAUUC